UACGGGGGGGGGCAAGCGUUGUUCGGAAUUACUGGGCGUAAAGGGCUCGUAGGCGGCCAACUAAGUCAGACGUGAAAUCCCUCGGCUUAACCGGGGAACUGCGUCUGAUACUGGAUGGCUUGAAUCCGGGAGAGGGAUGCGGAAUUCCAGGUGUAGCGGUGAAAUGCGUAGAUAUCUGGAGGAACACCGGUGGCGAAGGCGGCGUCCUGGACCAACACUGACACUGAGGAGCGAAAGCCAGGGGAGCAAACGGG
rnacentral:rRNA from 1 species